rnacentral:rRNA from 1 species
UGGGGAAUUUUGGACAAUGGGCGAAAGCCUGAUCCAGCAAUGCCGCGUGUGUGAAGAAGGCCUUCGGGUUGUAAAGCACUUUUGUCCGGAAAGAAAUCCUUGGCUCUAAUACAGUCGGGGGAUGACGGUACCGGAAGAAUAAGCACCGGCUAACUACGUGCCAGCAACCGCGGUAAUACGUAGGGUGCAAGCGUUAAUCGGAAUUACUGGGCGUAAAGCGUGCGCAGGCGGUUUGCUAAGACCGAUGUGAAAUCCCCGGGCUCAACCUGGGAACUGCAUCGGUGACUGGCAGGCUAGAGUAUGGCAGAGGGGGGUAGAAUUCCACGUGUAGCAGUGAAAUGCGUAGAGAUGUGGAGGAAUACCGAUGGCGAAGGCAGCCCCCUGGGCCAAUACUGACGCUCAUGCACGAAAGCGUGGGGAGCAAACAGGAUUAGAUACCCUGGUAGUCCACGCCCUAAACGAUGUCAACUAGUUGUUGGGGAUUCAUUUCCUUAGUAACGUAGCUAACGCGUGAAGUUGACCGCCUGGGGAGUACGGUCGCAAGAUUAAAACUCAAAUGAAUUGACGGGGUCAUAGCUGUUUCCU